rnacentral:rRNA from 1 species
AAAAGAAAAUUGAAUUUAUUAAGUGAAAUUUUAUAUUCAAAAUAUUUUUAUAAAAAAUAAUUGAAGCUAAAAAAUUUUUUUAAAAAACUAGGAUUAGAUACCCGUAUUAUUUAAAAUGUAAAUAUAAAUAUUAAAGUAGUAAUAGUUAUGUUCUUGAAACUUAAAAAAUUUGGCGGUAUUUUAGUCUAUCCAGAGGAACCUGUUUUGUAAUCGAUAAUCCACGAUGGACCUUACUUAAAUUUGUAAUCAGUUUAUAUACCGUGCGUUAUCAGAAUAUUUUAUAAGAAUAAUAAUAUCCAAUAAUUUUAAUAAAAAUUUAUAUCAGAUCAAGGUGUAGCUUAUAUUUAAGUAAUAAUGGGUUACAAUAAAAUUAUUUAUAUGGAUAAAAUUAUGAAAAAGUUUUUGAAGGUGGAUUUGGUAGUAAAAUUAUAAAGAUAAAUAAUUGGAUUUUAGCUCUAAAAUAUGUACACAUCGCCCGUCGCUCUUAUUAUUAAGAUAAGAUAAGUCGUAACAUAGUGAGAUGUACUGGAAAGUGUAUCUAGAAUGAAAAAG